AGAGUUUGAUCCUGGCUCAGGAUGAACGCUGGCGGCGUGCUUAACACAUGCAAGUCGAACGCUGAAGCUCCCAGCUUGCUGGGGGUGGAUGAGUGGCGAACGGGUGAGUAUCACGUGAGUAACCUGCCCUUGACUCUGGGAUAAGCCCGGGAAACUGGGUCUAAUACUGGAUAGGACUGGCCAUCGCAUGGUGGUUGGUUGAAAGCUUUUGCGGUUUUGGAUGGACUCGCGGCCUAUCAGCUUGUUGGUGGGGUAAUGGCCUACCAAGGCUUUGACGGGUAGCCGGCCUGAGAGGGUGACCGGCCACACUGGGACUGAGACACGGCCCAGACUCCUACGGGAGGCAGCAGUGGGGGAUAUUGCACAAUGGGCGCAAGCCUGAUGCAGCGACGCCGCGUGAGGGAUGACGGCCUUCGGGUUGUAAACCUCUUUCAGUUGGGAAGAAGCCUUUCGGGGUGACGGUACCUUCAGAAGAAGCACCGGCUAACUACGUGCCAGCAGCCGCGGUAAUACGUAGGGUGCGAGCGUUAUCCGGAAUUAUUGGGCGUAAAGAAGCUCGUAGGCGGUUUGUCACGUU
rnacentral:rRNA from 1 species